ACAGCAGUCGCCACGGUAAUACAGAGGGUGCGAGCGUUAAUCGGAUUUACUGGGCGUAAAGCGUGCGUAGGCGGCUUUUUAAGUCGGAUGUGAAAUCCCUGAGCUUAACUUAGGAAUUGCAUUCGAUACUGGGAAGCUAGAGUAUGGGAGAGGAUGGUAGAAUUCCAGGUGUAGCGGUGAAAUGCGUAGAGAUCUGGAGGAAUACCGAUGGCGAAGGCAGCCAUCUGGCCUAAUACUGAUGCUGAGGUACGAAAGCAUGGGGAGCAAACAGGAUUAGAUACCCCCGUAGUCCCUGUCUCUUAUAC
rnacentral:rRNA from 1 species